AGUUACACCUAGGUCCGAGGUGGUGUAAAACACAUAUAUAAUUAUUUUUGUGCACAAUUUGACCUUUUUAUUAACUGUUUAUAAGCUUUAUCACCAUAGAAGCAUGUAUAUGCCAUGCAAAAAGUGAAAUUUUAAAUGGAACACCCCAAAAUAUGCCUGAAAACGAGGCGGCUGACAGUCUGCCCUUAGUACCCCUUACCCUAGCGUCACGCAUACACACAGCAGCUUACGAAAUGAAUAUUAUCCUCGCAUAUUUUCACGCCCGUGCUCUGAGGAGGGAAAGACGGUUUCGGGAUCGUCUUGACCCCUUAGAAUUAAGUGACAGUGAACUUAUUCAAAAGUAUCGCUUCCCUCGGCAAGAACUAACCCUCCUCUUUCAGGAGCUGCAGCCUCAGCUUGAGAGGAGGACAAGGCGUAGCCAGGCCUUACCAACCCACACACAGGUUUUGCUGGCCCUGAGAUUUUUGGCAAGUGGCUCCUUUCAACAUGUCAUUGGAGACACUGCAGGUGUUACACAAGCCAGCAUAAGCCGGGUCUUGGACCGGAUUUGCACCGUCUUGAGUGACAAGUCGGUGCAAGAAAUCAAGAUGCCUCCUACAAAUAUUGAGCGGAGGAGAAUUGCUCGGAAGUUUUUAAGGAUUCAAAACUUCCCAAGGGUUAUUGGAGCCAUUGAUGGCACCCAUGUUGCCAUCAAGGCCCCAUCUGUAGACGAGGCCCUGUAUUUCAACAGGAAAAGGUAUCACUCCCU